AAAACUUAGAAAUUUGAUGGUAACAGACUGUGAAUCCCAGUGAUGAUUGAACCCGGUGAUAUUUCAAACAAAAGGAGCUCUUGACCAUGCUUGUAGCUGUUUCCAUCACUUCACACUGGCUCAGACAUUCUAGGCCUCAGACUGGCACACAGACUGUGAGACAAUCUU